UGGGGAAUAUUGGUCAAUGGGCGCAAGCCUGAACCAGCAAUCCCGCGUGCAGGAAGACGGCCCUAUGGGUUGUAAACUGCUUUUCCAGGGAGAGAAACUUGCGUACGUGUUGCGCAAUUGACGGUACCCUGGGAAUAAGCAUCGGCUAACUCCGUGCCAGCAGCCGCGGUAAUACGGAGGAUGCGAGCGUUAUCCGGAUUCAUUGGGUUUAAAGGGUGCGUUGGCGGACUAUUAAGUCAGUGGUGAAAUCCUGCAGCUUAACUGCAGAACUGCCAUUGAUACUGAUAGCCUUGUGUUUGGUUAAGGUAGGCGGAAUGUGUAAUGUAGCGGUGAAAUUCUUAGAUAUCACACAGAACAACAAUUGCGUAGGCAGCUUACUGAGCCGACACUGACGCUGAGGCACGAAAGCGUGGGGAUCGAACA
rnacentral:rRNA from 1 species